AGCCGUGCAAAACCGUGCCGAGAUGUGCCAAGCCGUGCCAAGCCGUGCCCCGCAUGGGCAGAGCCGUGCCGAACCGUGCCGAGCUGUGCGAAGCCGUGCCAAGCCGUGCCCCGCCCGGGCAGAGCCGUGCCAAACCGUGCCGAGCUGUGCCAAGCCGUGCCAAGCCGUGCCCAGCCCGGGUACAGCCGUGCCAAACAGUGCCGAGCUCUGCCAAGCCGUGCCAAGCCGUGCCAAUCCAUGCCGAGCCGUGCCGAGCCCGGGCAGAGCCGUGCCAAACCGUGCCGAGAUGUGCCAAGCCGUGCCCAGUCCGGUCAGAGCUGUGCCCAGCCCGGGCAGAGCCGUGCCAAACCGUGCCGAGCAGAGCCAAGCCGUGCCAAGCCGUGCCCAGCCCGGGAAGAGCCGUGCCAAGACGUGCCCAUCCCGGUCAGAGCUGUGCCAAGCCGUGCCAAGCCAUGCCGAUCAGUUCCCAGCCCGGGCACAGCCGUGCCAAACCGUGCCGAGAUGUGCCAAGCCCUGCCAAACCGUUCCCAGCCCGGGCAGAGCCGUGCCAAACCGUGCCAAAACAUGCCGAGCCGUGCCCAUCCCGGGCAGAGCCGUGCCAAGCCGUGUCAAUCCAUGUCGAGCCGUGCCCAGCCCGGGCAGAGCCGUGCCAAACCGCGCCGAGCCGUGCCAAGCCGUGCCGAGCCGUGCCCAGCCCGGGCAGACCCGUGCCAAACCGUGCCGAGCUGUGCCAACCGUGCCAAGCCGUGCCCGGCCGUCCCCCAGCCGGAGCAGGUCCCCCCGGCUCGGCUCGGCUCGGCUCGGCACCCCGUGGCUCCGCGCUGUCCCGGCUCGCCGCAGGGGAGCUGUGCCCUGGGGGUGCUGCCCCGCACAGGCUCGGCACCCCCGGACUGUCCCAUCACACCGCACCCUCCCCCCGUCCCCGGGCGUCCUGAGCCCGUCCCCAUCCCACCCCGUCCCCAUCCCAUUUCCUCCCGAUCCCAUCCCCUCCCCACCACAACCUGUCCCCAUCCCAUCCCCUCCACAUCCCACCCCGUCCCUACACCACCCCAUUCCCCCAUCCGCUCCUCAUCCCACUGCUUCCUCAUCACAUUCUGCUUCCACUCUGUCCCAUCCCAUCCCAUCCCAUCCCAUCCCAUCCCAUUUCCACCCAGCCCCAUCCCACCUCGCCCCCUGCCCCAAUCCCCCACCUCCUCCUGCCCCAGCCCCUGCCUUGCCCCCUCCCGUGCCCCCCACCCCUCCCCAGCUGCAGUGGGGCCCCCGCCUUGUCCUGCCCAGCUGUGAGCCCUUAAAAACCCUGGGGGCAACUAUGGGGCUGUGCUGGCCACCAUGGCUUCAGGGGAGCAGAGGAGGCAAGAGGAGCGGCGGCGGCGGAGGGCUCAGCAGCAGGAGCUGCUCCUGGCAGAGAGCCUGGGCAAGCACCCCCUGCAGAACAGGUGGGCGCUGUGGUUCUUCAAGAACGACAAGAGCAAGAUGUGGCAGGCCAACCUGCGCCUGGUCACCAAGUUCAGCACGGUGGAGGACUUCUGGGCGUGAGUGCCUGCAGAGCAGGGGGGCAUGGAGACCCCCGGGGGGGUGGGGGGGUCCUAGGGCACUGCUCCUCACUGCCUCUUGUCUCACCCCCCCCCGCUGCAGCCUCUACAGCCACAUCCAGCUGGCCAGCAAGCUCACCUCGGGCUGCGACUACUCCCUCUUCAAGGUGCGACGCCCCCGUGCCAAGGCACCCUGGUGCUGGGGGCCACUGGGGGAGGGGGGAAACGGCCCCCGAGCUGGUUGUGUCCGUGUGCUGA
rnacentral:lncRNA from 1 species